CCUCGCUUCAGACAGGUAGGCUCCCCCAUCCAUUAAACCAUGAUGUCUCCAUCUGCACUCUGGGCUCUUUCUUUGAUCUUGAAGCUGGGUACUUUUAGGGUAUAGGCCUGCGAGGUGCAGCCCAACACCGCCCAAAAGCCCUCCCAUUCCAUCCCCACGCCUAGCUUGUAAAACAUCCUUUGGUUCAUACUUCCCCUGUUUGUGAAAUCAGUAUGUUUAGGCGCUUCCUUUUUUUUUUUCAGAAGAGCUGCAACAAGUCCCUGUGAGGGUUCAGAAGGCAGCUCCUCAGCAGCCACACCCCUUCGAACAUGUACAUUGUUCCAUGUACAGUUCUCAUUGUUGCUUCUUGACCUGGUUCCUUAGGAGACAGCCUGCAGUAUUUAAGACCUGAGUUACCCAAACAGGAAUUGAACCAAAGCCUCCCUGCAUUGGAAGGCAGAGUCUUAACCACUGGACCACCGGACGUGUUCCUGCAAGCAGAAUGUAAGAAGGCUUCUGGUGAAUUCUAGACUGUCUCUGAGUAGUGUGUCUCUCAUCACAAAUACCUGGAGUGGGGGAGGAUCCAGAAAGCUGCCAUGCCCACAGAACUGCUUUUCUGUGCCUGCAACGAGUGCUGGACCAGUUCUACAAAGGAGGCCAGACAAGUGCUUACAAAUGAGGCACAAGUCUUGAAGGCUUGUCCUUGUUGAGAAUGACCUUAUGCAGUCUGUUUGUGACCAGUGGCUUUGGUGGGAGAGCUGGAUCUGAAGAGGUCACAAGGGCCAUCUUCUUCCAGGGUGCUCUGGUGACUGUUGGCUUCUUGGAGGUGCAGAGAACAGUCUACACAGAGGAUUCAGGUAACAGUCUGGAUCCCCUAGGAAGCACGUGUGCUCACGCUGGCCUGUUUCUCCCCGUGGUUCUCCAGCAAGUUCUGCUCUGUAUCACUUGAUUGUCACCUGUAGGCUGCACUUCCAGGCCUCUUGCCAGCAGGUUUCUUACUUGGCUUGGACAAUAGCACAGUGCUGGUGGAAGGGCGGAAGAAAGAAGGAAGCCAGGAUAUGUCUCCCCUCUCUGCCCUCUCCACCCAGGUGGUUUCAGGACUAGGCCAGCAUCUGCCCCUCCUUUGUGCCUCCAGCCAACUCCAGAGCAUUCUGCCUGGUGACUUUGGCCCCUGAACUCUAAUAACACUAUAUCCCUUUGUGGUCCAGGCCAGAGGUGAUCAUCUCCUUGUCCGCUUCACUAUCAACUGUUGCCUUCACAGUUGUUCAUUUCCUGUGUAAUCAAUCCCUGAAUUAAAAAUCCAUUGUUCUGAAUAGUUAAAGUGGUUAGUGUUUCUCUGAUUAUCCCCAACUGAUAUAAUACCCUUGAGAGGAGGGACCAAGUUUGCUUUAUCACUGCUAUAUCCUAGUACCUGGGAAGGAAAGUAUAAGGUAUGCAUUAAGUAAUCAAUUAAAAUAUGCUAAGUGAAUGAAUAGAAAAUGCAUCCUUUAGUUAGUAGUUUUCAAAGUUUAUCAAGCAUCA